rnacentral:rRNA from 1 species
UACGGAGGAUGCGAGCGUUAUCCGGAUUUAUUGGGUUUAAAGGGUGCGUAGGCGGAUCGUUAAGCCAGUGGUCAAAUUGAGGGGCUCAACCCCUUCCCGCCAUUGAAACUGGCGAUCUUGAGUGGAAGAGAAGUAUGCGGAAUGCGUGGUGUAGCGGUGAAAUGCAUAGAUAUCACGCAGAACCCCGAUUGCGAAGGCAGCAUGCCGGCUUCCUACUGACGCUGAAGCACGAGAGCGUGGGGAUCGAACAGG